CGUCCCUUUUCAUUAACAAGGAUUUAGUUUAUGUUUCUAGGUAUUUCAGCUAGGGUACAAAGGACAGAGAAGGUUUAGGAAAAAAUAUGUGUGUAUGCUACGAUUGAUCAAGGCUUGGCCAACGAAGAUGUAAUAUGGGGUACGGCCAAAUUAUCAUCAUCAGAUUUAUAUUUGCUUGGGCUACAAUUCUGGAUGGUCUGGGCAUUAGUUAAUCCAUUUUGAGAGAACUAAAUCCAGGAUAAAUCUAUUGUGACAUUCAUGAAGAAAUUCCUGCUAUUCAAUGAUUUGUGUCAUUGGUGGCACUGCAUCAUCUAAUCCUACUUUAGCUUUCACCUCCAUAUCUGGUUGAAGUGACUUUUCAUCUAAUAAAGGUAUUUAUGACUGCAAGCUUGUUGAAAUGCCACCUUUUUAGUUUCUAGCUUAGGAAUAUGAUUAUAAUUAUUUGUUGCGACUAUCUCCAUUACUUAGUUGUUUCAAGCAUUGACUUCUCCAAUACAACAUGUUUUAUGAGACAUUGGCACUCUUUUUCUAUCGUUGUGAACUUUAUACUAUAAAAAUAUGCUUUGACCAUAUAUCCGGGGAUAUAUCAAAACAUUUCUGUUUUCAUGAGUUACCCACAUUUUGGAUUCUUGACUGCAUGUGUUUCGGGAUGGCCGUAUCAUCUGCGUACGAAUAUAUUUAAUCAACACUCCACUGGCUCUGCUGUUCCUAAGGUUGCUUUCAUAACAUGUAUUUAUGCAUACGAACUGAACAUUCUGCAAGCAAACUAUGAAGAAAAUUGGCAAAUAUACUGGUUGAUCUUCUUUCAGUUGGGAAGUGUUCAAAUUAUUUUGUUCUUUGGAGUGUCUAAUUUGUAGUUUCCUUUUUGAGACAGUUACAACUGCAGGAUAUCUAUUCGACAAAAACUGCAAGCAAAAAUGAUUCGUGCAUGGAUCGGUGGUAGCCACCUAACAUUUAACAGGACAUUAGGCAACGACUUAGGCUUUUGCAUGUUUAUGGUCCUCAUGUAUAAGAAACAAUUGAUAUAGCAUCCGAUUUAUAUACUUAGUAGGUUUGUUAAUUCUGGAGCUUUCGUAAUUCUGAAAAAUGUUGUUUUAGUGAAUUUUU